AUAAUGAUACUUAUCUACGGAGCUGGCGGAGUACCCGGCAGAGGUGAAAUUCCUAUGA
rnacentral:ncRNA from 1 species